UACGUAGGUGGCAAGCGUUGUCCGGAUUUACUGGGUGUAAAGGGAGCGUAGACGGCCAGACAAGUCUGAAGUGAAAAUCCAGCGCUUAACGUUGGAAGUGCUUUGGAAACUGCCGGGCUGGAGUGCAGGAGGGGCAGGCGGAAUUCCUAGUGUAGCGGUGAAAUGCGUAGAUAUUAGGAGGAACACCAGUGGCGAAGGCGGCCUGCUGGACUGCAACUGACGUUGAGGCUCGAAGGCGUGGGGAGCAAACAGG
rnacentral:rRNA from 1 species